UACAGAGGUCUCAAGCGUUGUUCGGAUUCAUUGGGCGUAAAGGGCGCGUAGGCGGCGGGGUAAGUCGGGUGUGAAAUCUCAGAGCUCAACUCUGAAAUGGCACUUGAUACUGCUCUGCUAGAGGAGUGGAGAGGAGAUUGGAAUUCACGGUGUAGCAGUGAAAUGCGUAGAUAUCGUGAGGAAGACCGGUGGCGAAGGCGGAUCUCUGGACAGUUCCUGACGCUGAGGCGCGAAGGCCAGGGGAGCAAACGGG
rnacentral:rRNA from 1 species